rnacentral:lncRNA from 1 species
AUGGGAUGGAUGGACUACCAAGCUCUCCCUCUGUCAGGAUUGAUUCUGCAGCGAGACUGUGAGCUUAACGAGAGCAAAACUCAGGCCUUAUACUCCUUCAUGUGCCCUGCAGACUCCAGAAGUGCUCGGAGGAUAUGGGUGGAGGCAGCUGUGCCUAGAAACAGGCGAUUGGCCCAUACUGGAGAGGAUUCUGGACGCCAUCCGAGUCCUGGAGGAUUCACUGCAGUGCUCUGUGGCCUUGGAGCAACGCCAGCUCAGAAAGUUUCCCAAGCCCAAAUUAGCCACAGCCUGAGAUCCACUCAUGGUAACUAUAUUAUGGUCUUUCUCUUUUCUGGGUUGUAAUGAGUUCUGGUAGUUUGGCCACCGGAUGGUGUCCUCUGGGUACCCAGAGUGAUUAGUCAACUCUCCUAGUCGCCAUGGUUGUCCCUAGGAAAAUCCGCAGUCAUGGGGAGCCACCUGUGUGGAACAUGGUAGGGGACAUGAAAGAUUCCUCCACCUAAAAAUAUCACUUGCUUGCUUGUCAUGUGGCCCACGGUUCCACCACUGGUUAUUCACUCUUUCAGUUAGCACUGCCUCAUCUUCUAUGUCUUUUUAACAAAAAUCUGAGAAGGUAAACUGUUAAGUCAUCAACAUCCAUCAGUUCUUUCGCUGACCAGGGAAGGUGUCUUGGCUAAAGAAGGCCCCCGACGUGGGGGUGAGGAACAGAGAAAAGCAGGAAAAGGAGAGGCAGGAGACACCACAGACAGAACUCACUCCCUUCACUACCUUGCCCGGGGCCAGCUCUGAUUUUGACCUCCAGAUGCUUCCUACUUUCUCUGGCUCCUAAUCAAAGUUGGUGGUGAUGUAAGGAACUGGAGUAACACCAGAUUCCAGACUCUGGGUGGAGUUUACAGUAACGAUAUGAGUAAUACCUGAAGCUUGCAUGUGCCUCUCUGUCGCGCCGUCAGUAGGAAUCGCUUAAAAAUCAGGUGUGCCUCUUCUAGGGUGGGACAGGAAUGAGCUUAAUACACAAAGUAUAGGAUUUUUGAACAGGACAGAAAUGAAUGACACACUUUGGUAAAGAGACGCCCACCACAGGCCUUUGAAAUGGUGCCCUGCUGCUGUCAAAACAGCAUCUCACGUUGUCUUAACUGUAUCUUAACAACUACCACGUCAGGAAGGAAGAAAAAUAUUCUCCUCACGGCAUAAAGAUCACUGAGAAACUUCUCAAAAAUGCACAUUUCUGAGCUCCAAACUGGGGAUUCUCAUGCAUUGGGUUUGGGGUGUGGCCUCGGAAUCUGAACCUUUUUAUGGAGGGAGUGGGUGAGCCACAUUUUGAAAAGCACUGAUUCCUUCAUAAUAGAGUUUUGGUCUAUGAUAGGGUGGAAACUGAGACUUAUUCUCGUCAGUGUCCUUCUCAGUGCUUAGCCUAGUGCUUUGCACAUAUUUUGUUCUUUACAAAUGUUGGCAAAAGUUUAAUGGUCAGGGAAAUAUUCACAGAAAUAGCAUCUGAACAGGGUCUCUAAAUGAGAAAAGGCCUGGGGUGGAAGGCAUUCCAGAAGGAAGAAAUAUCAAAAGCAAAGGCAUGGACGUGGGGUUCUUCCAGAUGGGAGAGCCCUAUUCUUUGAUGGAGCACAGAGUCUGUAUCGGGAAGAAGGAAGAGAUGUGAUCACAAAAACACAUUAAGAUCAUGCUGUGCAGUACCUUGAACGUAGGGAUUUGUGCAGUUCAGAAGCAAUGGGGACAUGCUGAAUAUCCAUGGCUCUGUGUGUUGAGGGUACAAGGAAAGCUGGGAUUAAUUUGCAAACUAUGAAACCACCUUCUUACUGCCAGAGCAAAGCCAUUUGGGAGGCGUUUGUGUAGGCUCCAAGCAUCUCCAAAGCCUAGGCAUUUCCUAGGUUGUAAUUGGCAGCCAAUUCCCAGGGGAAUCUCUAAUUCCGCACUCCCAGGUCUCCUUUGCCACCUGCAUGGUACUGGGCCCGAAAUUUUCAUCUCCAGCCCGUCUUAUUUAAAAGAGUUCAUGGCUCCAGGCCUGCCCAAGCCCUCCACCCCACCUGGAUGUACCAUAAGCACCGUGACACUUACAUGCCCCAGUGUAGACCAGUAUUUUUCUCCAAACCUCUUCUAUUCCUACCCUGAUUUGUGGUAUCUGCCUACUCACCUAAAUCAGAAACUGUCAUUUUUCACUCACCUUUCACCCUCGUGCAUCUGAACAAAUAGCCUCAGGAUUCUAUUUCUCAGAUUUGCCCCUUUCCUACCUCUAGGAGGUUUGUGACAGAAAUUAUAAUGUUUGCUUUUCUUUUUCAUAUUUCCAUGUACAUGAUUUCUCCCAAUUUAGUCAGCUAUAGUGUCUAUAUCCAAACUGGUGAUGGGAAGGAAGUUCUAUUAUUAUAACAGAAAAAUGGAGAAAAAGGGAUCAAUAUCCACAAUUUAACUACCAAAAUAGGAUUGCUGAGUUCCUAAUAAGAUUAGUCUCCAAAGAAAUUUUUCCUUAAAUUUGUUAAAAUACCAAUAACAUAUCAAGAGCCAGGGUUGGCUUUAUUGAGGUGUAAUUGACAAACAAAAUUGUGUAUCUUUAAGGUAUACAACUUCAUGUUUAUACACACACACACCCCCGAAAUGAUCACAACAAUCAAACUAACACAUUCCUUAGCUUACAGUUAACUAUUUUUUCUUUUCUUUUCUUUUUUUUUUUUUAUGGUGAGAGCAUGUAAGAUGUACCCUCUUGGUAAAAUCCCAAGUAUAUAAUACAGUAUUAUUAACUACAGUCACUAUGCUGUGCACUGAGUCUCCAGAACUUCUUCAUCUUCAGUAAGCAAAACUUUGUACCCUUUGACCAACAUCUCCCCAUUUCCCCUCCUUCCAGCCCUGGCAACCACCGUUCUCUUCUCUGUUUCUAUGAGUUUGACUUUUUUAGAUUUCACAUGUACGUGAAGUCGUGCGGGGUUUAUCUUUCUGUGCCUGGCUUGUUUCACUUAGGACAGUGUCCUCCCGGUUCUUCCAUGUUGUUGCCAAUGGCAGGAUCUCCUUCUUUUUAAUGCUGGGUAAGAGCCCACCACUGGGUGUACAUGCAGAGAAAAUGAGGAUCUUGAGAGAUAGCGUCAGUCCCAUGUUCGUUGCCUUAUUUGCAAUAGUCAAGAUAUGGAGACAACCUAAAUCUCUGCCAAUGAAUGAAUGGAAAAAGAAAGUUUGGUCUAUAGAAGCAUAUUUAGUUUACUGUAAGUCAAGUCUGGAGAGAUUUCAGGAUCCAUAUCCUAAUGGAAGUCC